CACCCCCCCCGGCCCCUCUCCACAGCCAUUCACCGGUUUGCGACACCUGGAUAUCGGGAAACGGGCGCUGCUUUACGGCCGCGGCGCCGCCUUCUGGCUUCGGGAAGGGGUCGGCGAGAGGUGGCCGCCAUCUUGCUGUAGCUUUCCAGCUUUCAUGCCAGACUUGGGUGUUCUGUAUUUGUUACCCCGCGGAGUCGUUCGCACAAGAACUGAGAGUGAGAACACGGGGACUGAAAGAGGUGGUGAGGUCAGGUCUAUGGAAGAGAAUUGACAUUGGUCACACUUAUCCAGAUGCCUCAGGGAUGUUCCCUGCACAGGAACGACAGACAACAUACAGGAAGACAAAUUUGCUGCAAGGAGCUUACUAAAAUGCACAGUUGGGUCACACGUCAUAAUUCCUGCUCUGCUUCUGAGCAGGUUUCUGUGUGAUACUUGUCCUCAUCGUUAUGUAGGUUAGUAAAACGUGGAAAGGGUUUGCUUAUCUUAACAUUGUUUGUGUGUGAGAGGGGUGGGAGAUGCUUACCCCUCAGGUUGUCAGGAAUAUACAAACCCCACCUCCAACACUACAAAACUCGAAAGACUUGCCCCACCCUGAUUCUCCAUCUCUUGCCUAUUAGUUCCCCCCUUAAAUCCUAGAACAUGCAAGUGAACCAAAGUAAGAUUUAAGCAUCUGUGCAAGUGUAAGAAAGAUGUCUGUCAAAGGUCUAAUCUCAGGUAAACAGACCAGAAAAACCUCUAAUACGGUUUUGGUGAGCCAAAUCCUUUGGUUACUUCUGCAGGUGAUGUUUUACAUAACAUUUACAAACCUAGAGACUUGUGAUUAACUGGUAGGAAGAACAGAAAGACUAUUUGCUGUGCUUAUGAGGAGUCAAACACAAUGGCAAUUACAAGAUCAUCCCAUUAUAUAGGUGCCUUAAUAAUAUAGUUGGACGACAUGUCAUUUGUUCAUUGUAAUUACAGUAUAAACCAAAACGUUAAAGCAGCUGGCACUGUAGUGAUUUAAUAAUAAUUUUUAAAAUGUCCCUUAGUAACUUUGCCUCUAAUUAAAAAGGAAUCUAGCUGUCACAAUAAAUUGCACCUACCUGGCA
rnacentral:lncRNA from 1 species